rnacentral:rRNA from 1 species
CGUGUAGGCGGCUCGAUCAGUCAGAUGUGAAAGCCCAUGGCUUAACUGUGGAACUGCAUUUGAAACUGCCGGGCUUGAGUAUGAGAUGGGAUAGUGGAAUUCCCAGUGUAGCGGUGAAAUGCGUAGAUAUUGGGAAGAACACCAGUAGCGAAGGCGGCUAUCUGGCUCAUAACUGACGCUAAUGCGCGAAAGCGCGGGGAGCAAACA